rnacentral:lncRNA from 1 species
CCGGUCCACAGGCACUACUCCCGCGUCGCGCCCUUUUGGACAUAUUCUCUUUUGGUCGGCCAAAAUACCGAGACUUUUUUCUCUGCUUUGUGGUCAAGGCUUUCCUGUCGUCUUUUCUUUGUCCACAAAAAACUAUUCCGCGAUUGCCGGCAUGCAUGCCGGCAGUGCGCUUUAUCCAAAAGACACAGGUGCUCCACAUGUCCGUACACGUGUGCCAACGUCGCAAAAAAAUGCGACGAGUACAAAAGACCGAGCGCACCAGACAGGCCUUGGAUGCUUGUCACAACCGGUUCACAGGUACGAAAAGACGACAUGGCGCAGGAGCACACCGUGAUAUGUUGACAUUUGCUCGUGGUCUGUUGGGUUUUUUCCCUAAACUAGGACAGCCGUAAAGAAUUUUUGCGCGAUCUACGAGGCUACCCGACAGAGAUACGGCGGUCGCAAACUGCCAAUGGGCCCCUCGCCAUUUUGACCGUUCUAGGCCUGCAACGAGACAUAAAAGAGAGACGCCUUUUCAGACUAUUCUGCUGUGCGUUGCCAACAUGCCUGCCUUUUUUUUUUGUUGGAGCCGGAAUGUCUGUUGUGAAUUUG